ACACAAUACCCUGACACCUAACUGUUAGAACAUCGAUAGAGUUUGGCAGUUAGCUUUAAGAAA
rnacentral:snoRNA from 1 species